rnacentral:rRNA from 1 species
CUUCAGGCAAGGAGCGCUUUAGUCUGAGACCCCGAAACUAAGUGAGCUACUCCAAGACAGCCUAUAAAUUAGGGCAAACCCGUCUCUGUGGCAAAAGAGUGGGAAGAGCUUCGAGUAGAGGUGAUAAACCUACCGAACUUAGUUAUAGCUGGUUGCCUGGGAAAUGGAUAGGAGUUCAGCCUCCCGGAUUCUCAUUAAACCAAGAGAGUUAUUCAAAGGGGGUACAGCCCCUUUGAAACAGGACACAACCUUUGAAGCUGGGUAAAGAUCAUAUUAUCUAAGGAGAAAACUGUGUUAGUUGGCCUAAAAGCAGCCACCUCAAAAGAAAGCGUUAAAGCUUAUACGUGUGAUUCUGAUCAUUUAAUCUCACCCCCCUUUGAUUUACCAAGCCACCCUAUGCUAACAUAGAGGAGACCAUGCUAAUAUGAGUAAUAAGAGAACUGUUUCUCUCUCUAGCACACGCAUAGCUCGGACGGACCCCCCACCGAAUAUUAACGGCCCCAAAUAAAGAGGGUACUGAAGAAGGACCAGAAAACUUUCACCGUUAACCCUACACUGGUGUGCCCCUGAGAAAGACUAAUAGAAAGAGAAGGAACUCGGCAAAAAAGCCUCGCCUGUUUACCAAAAACAUCGCCCCCCCCCUCCUCCAAAUGAGAGCCACACCUCCAAUUAACAGAACUUUUGACCAAAAAUGAUCCGGCAAAGCCGAUCAACGGACCAAGUUACCCUAGGGAUAACAGCGCAAUCCCCUUUUAGAGCCCUUAUCGACAAGGGGGUUUACGACCUCGAUGUUGGAUCAGGACAUCCUAAUGGUGCAG